rnacentral:siRNA from 1 species
GACACAAAUGAUGAGCCUGG